AAGAAAAUGCUAUAAUAACGACGGCUGGACAGCGACGGCUAGUAAAACAGACGGUAUUAGGGUAAAUAACGACUGCUUCAAACCGAUGGCCUUCACCGACGGCUUUUAACUACAUUACCGACGGCUCAAGCGGAUGUUAAUAUCAACGACGGCUUAAAGCCGUUGGUGUCUGUACUAUUUUGAAUUUCGGAUUUUUAGGAUUUAGGCGACGGCUUUAAACCGUCGCGGAUUUAGGCUAGGCCGUCGUUAGUUAACACGACUUAAAACCCCUGCUUCCUAACCACGACUGUUUUUCAAAAUUUCCUCCUUCCCACUAAGUGUAACUCGUUUUUGAAGAACUUGGGUUUGCUAAGCGCGAAACAACCGUCGAAACAUUGAAGGCAAUUCCGGCGACCGGGUUUCAUCGACCGGCGACAAAGACCACAAUUUCGACGUAUUUUAGCCGCCGCCUCCUCCGACACACAAUUAACUACAUCACGACCGCCGCCUACGCUGUCUCCGCCGCGCGAAUCCGUAGCUUUUAUCUGGAGACGUACAACAAGAAGCUGAUGAUUGUAGCACUCAAGGGUCACAGCCAAACCCUGAUUUGUUGUAUUGGGAGACAGUUGGUGGGAGGAACAGAGGAAAAGUGCAGGGGUUGGGUCAGGGAGAUCAUUUGUACUACAACUCUUCAUCUGGGCGAGGAGGAGUUGGCUCUUCACAACCAUAUGAGCCAUCGAUUUUUUCUCAGCUAGAGGCGCAGGUGGAGGCCAAGGUCGCUGCACGGAUGGUAGAAGUGGAGGCAAAGGUCAGCACGUCUGGAAGAGUCAAACCGGGCCCUCGUGCAGGAAAUGAUGCGGAACAUGACUAACUUUGGCCACUUGUUCUCAGGUUGCAACACAGGACCCUCUCCACAACGCAGACCAGAGGAUGACCCGGGGUUUGGUGGUGGCGGCACUAGUGCUGUAGAGACACCCGCCAGUGUAGUUUGU